UACGUAGGGUGCAAGCGUUGUCCGGAAUUAUUGGGCGUAAAGAGCUCGUAGGCGGUUUGUCGCGUCUGCUGUGAAAACUGGAGGCUCAACCUCCGGCCUGCAGUGGGUACGGGCAAACUAGAGUGCGGUAGGGGAGAUUGGAAUUCCUGGUGUAGCGGUGGAAUGCGCAGAUAUCAGGAGGAACACCGAUGGCGAAGGCAGAUCUCUGGGCCGUAACUGACGCUGAGGAGCGAAAGCGUGGGGAGCGAACAGG
rnacentral:rRNA from 1 species